UUGGGUCAGCGUGUACACAUAAGGAAACAUGGCCUGCACAUCACAGUCUGCGUUAGACUGGGUCACGAGUGCCAAACGCCAUCUUAUAAGCGGAUUAAAGGAUCUCUCUGUGAUUUUGGAGAACUUGAAUCAGAAAGGUGUUCUUGGUGAUGAAGAGGUCAGCAAUAUAAAGGCAGAGAAAACUGAUGAAGAAAAAAUAAGAACAACACUGAUCUCAGUCACAAAAAAAGGAGAAGCAGCCUGCUAUGAGUUACUCAAGAUUAUCGACAGGACAAGGAAGAGGACUUUAGAGAAACUGCUUCUUCCUCCUGAGAAAAACAGCGAUGCUUCCACUGAGAAAAACAAGUUUGAUCUGCAUCAUUGGAUCAGCUGCUUUUCCUUCAAGGAGGAGACUCAAGUCGAUACAAACUACUUACAAGGGCCAAGGUCAUGCCACAAAUAUCAAGGAAAGUUAAAGUCAAAAGCAAA